GGAGUUUUAAGUUAAUUAAACUGUCAGCCUUCAAAGCUGAAAAUAGGAGAUCUAGACUCUG
rnacentral:tRNA from 1 species